UAACAUAACAAUAUCAGUAUGUAUGCUA
rnacentral:sRNA from 1 species